ACAGAAGUUGGUCCAGGGCACAGUACAUUUCUGGCCAACAUUGAGGGAUUUAAAGAGAUCCAAAGUGGUCUAGAAGGUAUUCCUCUUUUUAGUGAGCUGUAUGUGCCAGCCUGGGUUACAUUUAAGGGAACUGAAUAUAGAGCAGGCAUGACUGUAUUCCUGUCCUAUGAUCCAUAUGGAGAGCCUCAGUUUGGUCUCAUACAAUCAGUUUUACUACUGGAGCAAACGUCACAUACACCAACAAUAAACUUGUUGUAAAGGAGUGGGAAACACAGUGGUUUGACAGGCAUUUAUUUGCAUACAGUGUGAUUCCCACUCAAGUUUUGGCAGCUGUAGAUGUGAGAGAGCUGCUUGAUCACCAUCCCCUCCAUGCAGCCAAGUCAUACAGAGAGGAUGAUGACUGUUUAUACAUUUCCCUGCGCUGUAGACUUUUUUAGAUAAUCAGCUGACUGCCACCAGGUGUGUUUGUGUGUGUAUAUGUAUGUAUGUAUGACACUUGCAAAUAGUAUUUUGACAGGUUUUUAUAUGUUGAAAAGGCCUUGCUUAACAUUGUCCCUCAUAUUAGUUUAGUUAUUAGCCAUACAUGCUGCGUUGCCAUUGCUUGAGGAUGAUCAGUAUUUGACUACCGGGAUGGCAAGAACUACUGGACUUCUGGGAUGAGAUGAUGUUAUGGGACUACUGGGAUGUUAAUUAAAUGACUACUGGGAUGUGAUAAGUUGUACUGUUGAACCUACUGUUGUACCUGCUAUCCCAGCUACAAGCUCUGAUGCCACAUCAACUUCCACGCCUCCAACCCCCAUGGAGGAACAAGCAGCAGCUGUGGUACCAGUGAAUCAGCUGAUACAGACGAUACACAUCAUUCCACAGUUUUCCUACGACAGAGACCAAAAAGGCCCUGGCAUUGGGUUUGGUUCAGUCAUUUCCCAGUUUGAAAGACUCAUCAAGCAGUGGCAGUGAAAUAUGGUACACCCCAGGACGGAACCACCGGCCAGCCACAGGAUUCCUGGAGGAAAGGCUGCGGAACAUCAGGAAAAGGCUGAGAUUACCCAGCAGAUCGCGGAGCGCGGCACAGACACCGCCCCAAAU